CAACCAGUUGACCACAACUGCUGUUACAUACUCAUUUGUACUUGUACUUCAUAAAGUAGUAGUAUAUUUUUUAUUAUAACAUAUUCUUAAUUUUAUUUUUUCUUUCAAAUCCACUGAGCUGAAAAAAGUAGUAUCUGCUUCACGGGUAUUACAGAAUCGAGAGAAGGUUUUGGAGUGCAAGUUCAUGCUUUGUUGAAACUGAAAGUAUUAAAUGUGUUGCUGUUUUUUUGCAUGUGAAUUAAAGACACCACCACAGACAGGAAGAACUAAGAUUAAUUGAAAAAGGAAAUCUUUGAACAUCACAAGUCUUUCCCAAGAAUCAUCACACAAAAAUUGUCACACAUACCUGUUUUACACUGCAUAGGACUGAGAAGAUGUCUUUAGCACGAGCAUUUUUGAAAACAUUUAGAAAUGGGAUGGCCAGAACUGCUGUUUUCACCACUUUUCCUAUGAGCCUUUUGUUACUUCCAUUGGAAGGGCUGGUUGAUGCCCAUUUUGCAUGUCCAUGUGAUGCUAAUAAGAAUGUACAAGUCUCAAAUCUCAUCUUCUGUGCACCUUUUUUUUUCUUUUUAGCUUUAAUGUGCUUGGUUUUACAGCCAUUCCAGCUUAAAUGUGAUUUUAAACAUUGCUUACUCAAGGGCAAGAAAUUGUUUCUUUGCCUUAUUCCACCUUUUAUGUGGAUUGAUCUUCUGCUUCUUGAUGGUAAUUACAUUGCUUGUAAGAACACAGACUGGAAUGGAGUGUAUGUUUCUGAUGAUGAGUUACAUAUGAAAUGGUGUAAACCAACUGAACAAGUUCACGGAAGAAAUGAAACUGAACUACGAGAUCUGACUCUGAGCUUUAUUGCAGAUUCUCAGUGCGACGGUUUAUGUGUACUUCUUUAUUUUAGCAUCAUUAUAAUACUUUGUGUAGUUUUCUUUGGCUGCUUAACCAGUGAUGAAUCCGGUGAGGAUGCGACAGAGGAACAAGUAUAAAAAUAUAUUUUGUUCAGCUUCAGAAAUGUUAUUAAUAAUCAUGAAAAGGAAUGAUAGCUUCUAUUUUACAUUUAGGUUUUAAACAUUUAGGUUUAGGUAUUUAGUUUCUUUGAUUAGUCAUAUGAUUUUUGUUUUAAUCUGUUUUUAACAUAAUGCCAAUUUUUGGGGAAAUGUACAAAAUGUUGCAGCCUUCAGAGUUUCAGCGCUUGUAUCAAUGAUAAAAUUAGUUGCUAAAAAUAAUUGUUUUUCAUGCUCUUUAACAAUGAAACUAAGUGUACAAAACUAACUACUGUAACAUUGUUCAAUCAGCCUUUACUAUUUAAUAUAAUGAUUCAACAGCACCAUUUCACUAAACACAUGUUGAUCCAUUGUUGAGAUUUGAAAGAUGAUUUAGAUUAAAUACUGUGUGUCAUGUAGGGAACUUCAAAUUGUGUUGCAAUUAAAGUAUUUUUUCACUGAAA